UACGUAGGUGGCAAGCGUUGUCCGGAAUUAUUGGGCGUAAAGCGCGCGCAGGCGGUCCUUUAAGUCUGAUGUGAAAGGCCACGGCUCAACCGUGGAGGGUCAUUGGAAACUGGGGGACUUGAGUGCAGGAGAGAAGAGUGGAAUUCCACGUGUAGCGGUGAAAUGCGUAGAGAUGUGGAGGAACACCGGUGGCGAAGGCGGCAUCCUGGACCGGCAUUGACGCUGAGGCGCGAAAGCUAGGGGAGCAAACGGG
rnacentral:rRNA from 1 species